GACGAACGCUGGCGGCGUGCCUAAUACAUGCAAGUCGAGCGAAUUUACGAGAGCUUGCUCUCGUAAAUUAGCGGCGGACGGGUGAGUAACACGUGGGCAACCUGCCUAUAAGACUGGGAUAACUUCGGGAAACCGGAGCUAAUACCGGAUAAUUCACAUCUACUCAUGUAGAUGUGCUGAAAGACGGUUUACGCUGUCACUUAUAGAUGGGCCCGCGGCGCAUUAGCUAGUUGGUGAGGUAACGGCUCACCAAGGCCACGAUGCGUAGCCGACCUGAGAGGGUGAUCGGCCACACUGGGACUGAGACACGGCCCAGACUCCUACGGGAGCAGCAGUAGGGAAUCUUCCGCAAUGGACGAAAGUCUGACGGAGCAAUGCGCGUGAGUGAUGAGUUUUCGGAUCGUAAACUCUGUUGUUAGGGAAGAACAAGUACCGGAGUAACUGCCGGCACCUU
rnacentral:rRNA from 1 species